UACGUAGGGCGCAAGCGUUGUCCGGAAUUAUUGGGCGUAAAGAGCUCGUAGGUGGCGUGUCGCGUCUGCCGUGAAAGCCCAUGGCUUAACUGUGGGUCUGCGGUGGAUACGGGCAGGCUGGAGGCUGGUAGGGGCAAGCGGAAUUCCGGGUGGAGCGGUGAAAUGCGUAGAGAUCCGGAGGAACACCGACGGCGUAGGCAGCGCCCUGGACGACACCUGACGCUGAGGCACGAAAGCUGGGGGGAGCGAACAGG
rnacentral:rRNA from 1 species